rnacentral:rRNA from 1 species
GUGAGGAAUAUUGGACAAUGGGUGCGAGCCUGAUCCAGCCAUCCCGCGUGAAGGACGACUGCCCUAUGGGUUGUAAACUUCUUUUGUACAGGGAUAAACCUAUUUACGUGUAAAUAGCUGAAGGUACUGUACGAAUAAGCACCGGCUAACUCCGUGCCAGCAGCCGCGGUAAUACGGAGGGUGCAAGCGUUAUCCGGAUUUAUUGGGUUUAAAGGGUCCGUAGGCGGAUCUGUAAGUCAGUGGUGAAAUCUCACAGCUUAACUGUGAAACUGCCAUUGAUACUGCAGGUCUUGAGUAAAGUAGAAGUGGCUGGAAUAAGUAGUGUAGCGGUGAAAUGCAUAGAUAUUACUUAGAACACCAAUUGCGAAGGCAGGUCACUAUGUUUUAACUGACGCUGAUGGACGAAAGCGUGGGGAGCGAACAGGAUUAGAAACCCCAGUAGUCC